rnacentral:rRNA from 1 species
UACGUAGGCAGCAAGCGUUGUUCGGAGUUACUGGGCGUAAAGGGUGCGUAGGCGGCCGUGUAAGUGUGGUGUGAAAUCUCACGGCUUAACUGGGAGGGUGCGCUACAGACUGCAUGGCUAGAGUGUGGGAGAGGAAAGUGGAAUUCCUGGUGUAGCGGUGAAAUGCGUAGAUAUCAGGAGGAACACCGGUGGUGUAAACGGCUUUCUGGACCAUAACUGACGCUGAUGCACGAAAGCGUGGGUAGCAAACAGG